rnacentral:rRNA from 1 species
CUGCGAAUGGCUCAUUAUAUCAGUUAUAGUUUCUUUGAUGAAGAAUACUAAUUGGAUAACCGUAGUAAUUCUAGAGCUAAUACAUGUAUAAAGUCUUGUAGACUGCAUUUAUUAGAAUGAAAACCAUAGGUUUCGGCCUAUUCGUGAGUAAUAAUAACUAAUCAUAUCGUAUGCUUAUGUAACGAUGUGUCUUUCAAGUUUCUGCCCUAUCAGCUUUCGAUGGUAGUGUAUUGGACUACCAUG